UACAGAGGGGGCAAGCGUUGUUCGGAAUUACUGGGCGUAAAGGGCGCGUAGGCGGCCUGUUAAGUCGAACGUGAAAUCCCCGGGCUCAACCCGGGAACUGCGUCCGAUACUGGCAGGCUUGAAUUCGGGAGAGGGAUGCGGAAUUCCAGGUGUAGCGGUGAAAUGCGUAGAUAUCUGAAGGAACACCGGUGGCGAAGGCGGCAUCCUGGACCGAGAUUGACGCUGAUGCGCGAAAGCCAGGGGAGCAAACGGG
rnacentral:rRNA from 1 species